rnacentral:rRNA from 1 species
UAGGGAAUCUUUGGCAAUGGACGAAAGUCUGACCGAGCAACGCCGCGUGUGUGAAGAAGGUUUCCGGAUCGUAAAACUCUGUUGUUAGAGAAGAACAAGGACGUUAGUAAUUGAACGUCCCCUGACGGUAUCUCACCAGAAAGCCACGGCUAACUACCUCCCAGCAGCCGCGGUAAUACGCCGGUGGUAAGCGAUGUCCGGAUUUAUUGGGCGUAAAGCGAGCGCAGGCGGUUUCUUAAGUCUGAUGUUAAAGCCCCCGGCUCAACCGGGGAGGGUCAUUAGAAACUGGGAGACUUGAGUGCAGAAGAGGAGAGUGGAAUUCCAGGUGUAGCGGUGAAAUGCGUAGAUAUAUGGAGGAACACCAGUGGCGAAGGCGGCUCUCUGGUCUGUAACUGACGCUGAGGCUCGAAAGCGUGGGGAGCAAACAGG